rnacentral:rRNA from 1 species
GACGAACGCUGGCGGCGUGCUUAACACAUGCAAGUCGAACGGAAAGGCCCUGCUUUUGUGGGGUGCUCGAGUGGCGAACGUGUGUGUAACACGUGUGUAACCUGCCCUUGACUUUGGUAUAACUUCAGGAAACUGGGGCUUAUACCGGAUAGGAUCUCCUGCUGCAUGGUGGGUGUUGGAAAGUUUCGGCGGUUGGGGAUGGACUCGCGGCUUGUCAGCUUUUUGGUGGGGUAGUGGCUUACCAAGGCUUUGACGGGUAGCCGGCCUGAGAGGGUGACCGGCAAAAUUGGGACUGGGAUACGGCCCAGACUCCUACGGGAGGCAGCAGUGGGGAAUAUUGAACAAUGGGCGGAAGCCUGAUGCAGCAACGCCGCGUGCGGGAUGACGGCCUUCGGGUUGUAAACCGCUUUCGCCUGUGACGAAGCGUGAGUGACGGUAAUGGGUAAAGAAGCACCGGCUAACUACGUG